CCUACGGGAGGCAGCAGUGAGGAAUAUUGGUCAAUGGACGAGAGUCUGAACCAGCCAAGUAGCGUGAAGGAUGACUGCCCUAUGGGUUGUAAACUUCUUUUAUAUGGGAAUAAAAUGUUCCACGUGUGGGAUUUUGUAUGUACCAUAUGAAUAAGGAUCGGCUAACUCCGUGCCAGCAGCCGCGGUAAUACGGAGGAUCCGAGCGUUAUCCGGAUUUAUUGGGGUUAAAGGGAGAGUAGGUGGAUUGUUAAGUCAGUGGUGAAAGUUUGCGGCUCAACCGUAAAAUUGGAGUUGAAACUGGCAGUCUUGAGUACAGUAGAGGUGGGCGGAAUUCGUGGUGUAGCGGUGAAAUGCUUAGAUAUCACGAAGAACUCCGAUUGCGAAGGCAGCGCACUGGACUGCAACUGACACUGAGGCUCGAAAGUGUGGGUAUCAAACAGGAUUAGAUACCCGGGUAGUC
rnacentral:rRNA from 1 species